CCUACGGGGGGCAGCAGUGAGGGAUAUUGGACAAUGGGGGAAACCCUGAACCAGCAACGCCGCGUGAGGGAAGACGGUUUUCGGAUUGUAAACCUCUGUCCUCUGGGAAGAUAAUGACGGUAGCAGAGUAGGAAGCACCGGCUAACUACGUGCCAGCAGCCGCGGUAAUACGUAGGGGGCAAGCGUUGUCCGGCUUUACUGGGGGUAAAGGGUGCGUAGGCGGCUUUGCAAGUCAGAAGUGAAAGCCAUGGGCUUAACCCAAGAACUGCUUUUGAAACUGCCGAGCUUGAGUGGAGGAGAGGUAGGCGGAAUUCCCGGUGUAGCGGUGAAAUGCGUAGAGAUCGGGAGGAACACCAGUGGCGAAGGCGGCCUACUGGGCUCUAACUGACGCUGAGGCACGAAAGCGUGGGUAGCAAACAGGAUUAGAUACCCUUGUAGUC
rnacentral:rRNA from 1 species